rnacentral:rRNA from 1 species
CGAAGGUCCCAAGCGUUAUCCGGAUUUAUUGGGUUUAAAGGGUGCGUAGGCGGGUUAUUAAGUCAGUGGUGAAAGCUCUCAGCCUAACUGAGAAAUUGCCAUUGAUACUGAUGGUCUUGAGUACAUUUGAAGUGGGCGGAAUGUGUCAUGUAGUGGUGAAAUACUUAGAUAUGACACAGAACACCGAUUGCGUAGGCAGCUCGCUAAACUGUAACUGACGCUGAGGCACGAAAGCGUGGGGAGCAAACAGGAUUAGAUACCCUGGUAGUCCACGCCCUAAACGAUGAUCACUCGAUGUGUGCAAUACACCGUACGCGUCCAAGCGAAAGCAUUAAGUGAUCCACCUGGGGAGUACGGCCGCAAGGCUG